UACGGAGGGGGCUAGCGUUGUUCGGAUUUACUGGGCGUAAAGCGCGCGUAGGCGGCUUGGAAAGUUGGGAGUGAAAGCCCGGGGCUCAACCCCGGAACUGCUCUCAAAACUUCCAAGCUAGAGAUCUGGAGAGGAGGGUGGAAUUCCAAGUGUAGAGGUGAAAUUCGUAGAUAUUUGGAAGAACACCAGUGGCGAAGGCGACUCUCUGGCCAGAUACUGACGCUGAGGUGCGAAAGCGUGGGGAGCAAACAGG
rnacentral:ncRNA from 2 species